AGAUUGAACGCUGGCGGCAGGCCUAACACAUGCAAGUCGAGCGGCAGCCUCUUAACUGAACCUUCGGGGAACGUUAAGGGCGGCGAGCGGCGGACGGGUGAGUAAUGCCUGGGAAUAUGCCCUGAUGUGGGGGAUAACUAUUGGAAACGAUAGCUAAUACCGCAUAAUCUCUUCGGAGCAAAGAGGGGGACCUUCGGGCCUCUCGCGUCAGGAUUAGCCCAAGGUGGGAUUAGCUUGUUGGUGAGGUAAUGGCUCACCAAGGCAACGAUCCCUAGCUGGUCUGAGAGGAUGAUCAGCCACACUGGAACUGAGACACGGUCCAGACUCCUACGGGAGGCAGCAGUGGGGAAUAUUGCACAAUGGGGGAAACCCUGAUGCAGCCAUGCCGCGUGUGUGAAGAAGGCCUUCGGGUUGUAAAGCACUUUCAGUAGGGAGGAAGGUAGUGUAGUUAACACCUGCAYUAUUUGACGUUACCUACAGAAGAAGCACCGGCUAACUCCGUGCCAGCAGC
rnacentral:rRNA from 1 species